rnacentral:rRNA from 1 species
CAGGUAGGACUACCCGCUGAACUUAAGCAUAUCAAUAAGCGGAGGAAAAGAAACUAACAAGGAUUCCCCUAGUAACUGCGAGUGAAGCGGGAAAAGCUCAAAUUUAAAAUCUGGCAGUCUUUGGCUGUCCGAGUUGUAAUCUAGAGAAGUGUUAUCCGCGCUGAACCGUGCACAGC